UAAUACCGGAUAGAUCAAAGACACUGGAAUGCCCUAUGAUCCAAAACUCCGGUGCCCAAGGAUGGGUCUGCGGCCUAUCAGGUUGCAGUGGGUGUAACGUACCUACUAGCCUACGACGGGUAAGGGUUGUGAGAGCAAGAUCCCUGAGAUGGAUUCUGAGACAUGAAUCCAGGCCCUACGGGGUGCAGCAGGCGCGAAACCUUUACACUGCGGGAAACCGCGAUAAGGGGACCCCGAGUGCCAGCAUCUAAUGCUGGCUGUCCCGCUGUCCAAACAACAGCGGUUAGCAAGGGCCGGGCAAGACCGGUGCCAGCCGCCGCGGUAACACCGGCGGCCCGAGUGGUAGCCGUUAUUAUUGGGUUUAAAGGGCCCGUAGCCGGCCUAUUAAGUCUCUUGGGAAAUCUGGCGGCUUAAUCGUCAGGCGUUC
rnacentral:rRNA from 1 species